rnacentral:rRNA from 1 species
GCUUAAGCGACUAAGCGUACACGGUGGAUGCCCUGGCAGUCAGAGGCGAUGAAGGACGUGCUAAUCUGCGAUAAGCGUCGGUGAGGUGAUAUGAACCGUUAUAACCGGCGAUUUCCGAAUGGGGAAACC